rfam:Winogradskyella psychrotolerans RS-3 Winogradskyella_psychrotolerans_contig_2, whole genome shotgun sequence.
AUGUUAUCAAGAAAGGCGGAGGGAAUGACCCUAUGAAGCCUUAGCAACCCUUAGAUUUACUAAGAAGGUGCUAAAUUCUACUUAAUUAUUUGAUUCAUUAAUCGAAAAAUUGGAUAGAUAACUC